AACAUCGCGCACCUGCGGGAACCUGCGGAGGGAUCAUCAUUGAAUAGUCAUUUCAAGCUUUGAAGGCGGGAGGGGGGGGGAGAGUUCUCUCUUUCUCUUUCGUUCUUCUGGCUUGCAAACAACUUUGAUACCCAAAAAGAUAUUUUCUUUCUUGCUUGUCUCUUCAGUCUUUUUGCAGUUCCAGCUUAUUUACUUGGGCUGGUUGCUGUGAGAGGCGGGAGGGAUAAGGUGGGAAAGAGG
rnacentral:misc_RNA from 1 species